CGAGCACGCGCGUGUGGCAUAUCAAUAAGCGGAGGAAAAGAAACUAACAAGGAUUCCCUUAGUAACGGCGAGUGAAGCGGGAAGAGCUCAAAUUUGAAAUCUUCAAGGUUCUACCUUGACGAAUUGUAGUUUAUAGAAGUGUUUUCUGUUAGUAGAGUGGCAAAAGUUCUUUGGAAUAGGACAUCAUAGAGGGUGAGAAUCCCGUAUUUGGUCAUUCCUCCUAGCUUUGUGAUACACUUUCAACGAGUCGGAUUGUUUGGGAAUGCAGUCCAAAAUGGGUGGUAAAUUUCAUCUAAAGCUAAAUAUUGGCGAGAGACCGAUAGCGAACAAGUACCGUGAGGGAAAGAUGAAAAGAACUUUGAAAAGAGAGUUAAACAGUACGUGAAAUUGUCAAAAGGGAAGCGUUUGACACCAGUGUUGUUUUUCCGAAAAUCAAUUACGAAUGUUUUAUUUUUGAGGAGUUAUGACUUCAUCGGCUUGCUCCUUUCUUUAUGAAACUUUCUUAAUGCACUUUUCGGUUAACAAGUCAACAUCAAUUUCUUUUGUUGUAAAAGGGUAUGAGGAAGGUGGCUUUCUUUUCGGAGAAAGUGUUUAUAGCCUUGUGCCUCUGCAAUCGGAGAGAUAGAGGUCUGCAGCGUAGAUCCUUCGGGGUUAGAUACGUUUGUGCUAAGUUAUAGCUUUUCAUAGACAACUUGUUGACUAUGUUUAGUCUUGUAGCUUACUCGCUGACGCUAUUUUACCUACGCUUAGGAUGUUGAGCGCAUGUCUCUCUCU
rnacentral:rRNA from 1 species